AUUUCAUAUUUUUUUUAUUUCAUAUUUAUUAAUAAAUAAGAUUCUGACAUAUAAUGUCCUGGUUCAUUUAAAAUAAGCUUAGCAAUAACAAUAAAACUUAACAAUAACAGUAAAACUAAUAAUAGCUGAAACUAUCAAUAACAGUACAAUCAAUAUUAGCUGAAACUAUCUUAGGGGUAAUCCAUAAUUGUCUACCAUUUUCCAAAGUGUACAAAACAUACACUUUUUCAGACCCCCCCCCUCCCUCAAAAAGUGUACAUCAACCAUUUUCAGAUUUCAAGACAAGAAUCAAUCAUUCUUAAUAAAAAGAAGAUCCUGUCUAUUAUAGUUUUGUUUAAUAUAGAAAUUUGCAUUGAAAAUAAACUGAAACAUAUCUGACUGUUUUAUUUGAUGACAUCUAUCUGUGAUGCUUGUGUUUCGUCAGAAUAAAGAGUAUAAAGAUACCAUUUUGUUGUUUUGUUAAUGUACAAUUUAACGUUAUUUUUGAAUGCAUAGAUGAUAAAUGGCUUCAUGUUGUAAUAAUGCAGAAAUGAAAAAAAUCCGGAAAUAAAAAAAAGCGUACGGUAAAAAUGUUGAUUUUUUAACCCCCUCCCCCCAAGUGUACGUUUUGUACACUUUGGAAAUUGUUGACAAUUAUGGAUGACCCCUUAAAUGUUA
rnacentral:lncRNA from 1 species